rnacentral:rRNA from 1 species
UACGAAGGGGGCUAGCGUUGUUCGGAAUCACUGGGCGUAAAGCGCACGUAGGCGGAUGUGCCAGUCAGGGGUGAAAUCCCGGAGCUCAACUUCGGAACUGCCUCUGAUACAGCACGUCUUGAGUCCGGAAGAGGUGGGUGGAAUUCCGAGUGUAGAGGUGAAAUUCGUAGAUAUUCGGAAGAACACCAGUGGCGAAGGCGACUCACUGGACACGUAUUGACGCUGAGGUGCGAAAGCGUGGGGAGCAAACAGG